CAAUAGCGUAUAUUAAAGUUGUUGCAGUUAAAAGGCUCGUAGUUGGAUUUGUGGCGUACGGUGUGUUCCGGGCACUUGUUGUCUGAGUAACCUGCUGUUGCCAUCCUUGGGUGGAACCUGUGUGGCAUUAGGUUGUCGUGCAGGGGAUGCCCAUCAUUUACUGUGAAAAAAUUAGAGUGUUCAAAGCAGGCUUAUGCCGUUGAAUAUAUUAGCAUGGAAUAAUGAGAUAGGACUUUUUUGCUAUUUUGUUGGUUUGCGCAAGAAGGUAAUGAUUAAUAGGGACAGUUGGGGGUAUUCGUAUUCCAUUGUCAGAGGUGAAAUUCUUGGAUUUUUGGAAGACGAACUACUGCGAAAGCAUUUACCAAGGAUGUUUUCAUUAA
rnacentral:rRNA from 1 species